rnacentral:rRNA from 1 species
ACGGGUGAGUAAUACCUAGGAACUUCCCUUAAGUUGAGCAUAACCAGCCGAAAGGUUGGACAAUUCUCAAUGUGACCGCAAGGUUAAAGUCGUAAGACGCUUAAGGCGAGGCCUGGAUACCAUCAGCUAGUUGGUAAGGUAAUGGCUUACCAAGGCUAUGACGGUUAGGGGCUCCGAGAGGAGUAACCCCCACACUGGAACUGCGACACGGUCCAGACUCCUACGGGAGGCAGCAGUUUGAAAUUUUGGACAAUGGGCGAAAGCCUGAUCCAGCGACGCCGCGUGGUGGGUGAAGGUCUUCGGAUCGUAAACACCUUUUGUAGGAGAUCAAUAUUUGAGAGUAUCCUACGAAUAAGAGGUUGCUAACUCUGUGCCAGCAGCAGCGGUAAUACAGAGACCUCAAACGUUAUCCGGAAUCAUUGGGCGUAAAGCGUACCGAUCGGUGGUUUAUCAAGUCAGAAGUGAAAUACUAAGGCUCAACCUUGGGAUUGUCUUUUGAAACUGAUCAACUCGAGGGGCAAAGAGGAAGCUGGAACGAACGGUGUAGUAGUGAAAUGCGUUGA